rnacentral:rRNA from 1 species
AGCGAACGCUGGCGGCAGGCCUAACACAUGCAAGUCGAACGAACUCUUCGGAUUUAGUGGCGGACGGGUGAGUAACACGUGGGAACGUGCCUUUUGGUUCGGAAUAACUCAGGGAAACUUGUGCUAAUACCGAAUGUGCCCUUCGGGGGAAAGAUUUAUCGCCAUUAGAGCGGCCCGCGUCUGAUUAGCUAGUUGGUGAGGUAACGGCUCACCAAGGCGACGAUCAGUAGCUGGUCUGAGAGGAUGACCAGCCACACUGGGACUGAGACACGGCCCAGACUCCUACGGGAGGCAGCAGUGGGGAAUCUUGCGCAAUGGGCGAAAGCCUGACGCAGCCAUGCCGCGUGAAUGAUGAAGGUCUUAGGAUUGUAAAAUUCUUUCACCGGGGACGAUAAUGACGGUACCCGGAGAAGAAGCCCCGGCUAACUUCGUG